UACGGGAGGCAGCAGUGGGGAAUAUUGCACAAUGGGCGCAAGCCUGAUGCAGCCAUGCCGCGUGUAUGAAGAAGGCCUUCGGGUUGUAAAGUACUUUCAGUCGUGAGGAAGGUGUUAAGGUUAAUAACCUUAGCAAUUGACGUUAGCGACAGAAGAAGCACCGGCUAACUCCGUGCCAGCAGCCGCGGUAAUACGGAGGGUGCGAGCGUUAAUCGGAAUUACUGGGCGUAAAGGGCACGCAGGCGGUUAAUUAAGUUGGAUGUGAAAUCCCCGGGCUUAACCUGGGAAUGGCAUUCAAGACUGGUUAGCUAGAGUCUUGUAGAGGGGGUAGAAUUCCAUGUGUAGCGGUGAAAUGCGUAGAGAUGUGGAGGAAUACCGGGUGGCGAAGGCGGGCCCCUGGGACAAAGGACUGACGCUCAUGUGCGAAAGCGUGGGGAGCGAAACAGGGAUUAGAUACC
rnacentral:rRNA from 1 species